AUAGCGGCGCUUAUAAGCGCCACUAAAACUAUUUUCGACACUUUU
rfam:Gossypium hirsutum cultivar TM-1 chromosome 1, whole genome shotgun sequence